UACGGAAGGCAGCAGUGGGGAAUAUUGCACAAUGGGCGCAAGCCUGAUGCAGCCAUGCCGCGUGUAUGAAGAAGGCCUUCGGGUUGUAAAGUACUUUCAAUCGUGAGGAAGGUGUUAAGGUUAAUAACCUUAGCAAUUGACGUUAGCGACAGAAGAAGCACCGGCUAACUCCGUGCCAGCAGCCGCGGUAAUACGGAGGGUGCGAGCGUUAAUCGGAAUUACUGGGCGUAAAGGGCACGCAGGCGGUUAAUUAAGUUGGAUGUGAAAUCCCCGGGCUUAACCUGGGAAUGGCAUUCAAGACUGGUUAGCUAGAGUCUUGUAGAGGGGGUAGAAUUCCAUGUGUAGCGGUGAAAUGCGUAGAGAUGUGGAGGAAUACCGGUGGCGAAGGCGGCCCCUGGACAAAGACUGACGCUCAUGUGCGAAAGCGUGGGGAGCAAACAGGGAUUAGAUACC
rnacentral:rRNA from 1 species